rnacentral:rRNA from 1 species
CCUACGGGAGACAGCAGUGAGGAAUAUUGGUCAAUGGGCUUACGCCUGAACCAGCCAAGUCGCGUGAGGGAAGACUGCCCUAUGGGUUGUAAACCUCUUUUGUCAGGGAGCAACGCCGGCUACGUGUAGCCGGACUGAGAGUACCUGAAGAAAAAGCAUCGGCUAACUCCGUGACAGCAGCCGCGGUAAUACGGGGGAUGCGAGCGUUAUCCGGAUUUAGUGGGUUUAAAGGGUGCGUAGGCGGAUUUUUAAGUCAGCGGUAAAAUGUCCGGGCUCAACCCGGGCCGGCCGUUGAAACUGGGGAUCUGGAGUGGGCGAGAAGUAUGCGGAAUGCGUGGUGUAGCGGUGAAAUGCAUAGAUAUCACGCAGAACUCCGAUUGCGAAGGCAGCAUACCGGCGCCCGACUGACGCUGAGGCACGAAAGCGUGGGGAUCGAACAGGAUUAGAUACCCCUGUAGUC